GAGGGCGUAGCUCAGUCGGUAGAGCAGCGGACUUUUAAUCCGUAGGUCCGGGGUUCGAGUCCCCGCGCCCUUA
rnacentral:tRNA from 1 species